CACCGGCAGCUCAAGUGGUAGCCGCUUUUAUUGGGCCUAAAGCGUCCGUAGCCGGUCUGAUAAGUCUCUGGUGAAAUCCCACAGCUUAACUGUGGGAAUUGCUGGAGAUACUAUCAUGACUCGAGGUCGGGAGAGGCUGGAGGUACUCCCAGGGUAGGGGUGAAAUCCUGUAAUCCUGGGAGGACCACCUGUGGCGAAGGCGUCCAGCUGGAACGAACCUGACACCGAGGCUCGAAAGCAUGGGGAGCAA
rnacentral:rRNA from 1 species